CUUCAAGACCUUAAUGUGGGUUUCCACUCUUCCUCCUAACAAUUUCACCAUGCCUGGGAUUAGGAGUGAGGGAAGCCUACAACACGUGCAGAAAGGGGAUACUACAUCCGUGGAUGUUUCACCCCAGCCUUAGCCAGCUGGCUUGCCCAGCGUGCAGGCUGCCUGGUGGAUGAAGAGUAACUGAUCGCACUCUUAUCAGCCCUCCUUGUUUUUUCCAGUGGAAAGCACAGACCCUUUCCAUUUUUGCUGUUGCGUUGGCGAGAAGAAACCAUUUGCGAGGUUUCCCAGCUGAGCUCUGCCGGAGUGGAUGAUUCCACAGCCAUUCUAAUGAGGGGGGAGGAAACACAGCCCAUUGGCCAGCUGCUCGUGUGUCUGUGAAGUCAAGACUUCAUGCCACAGAAAAACAGAGCAGCAAAUCUGCAGCAUGUAGUGUUCUCGGAGCAAGGAAGCUGCCGAUUCAUUUGCAAGAUUUCCCAGGGGACCUCUUCAAUUAGGAGGCUGGAUACUGGACCAUAGUUAUCUGUCUAUCCCUUCAUUGCUGAGUCCAGGCCAGGAUUUAGGAAGACCUUGUAUGGUGAUGGUAAGCAGUACAGACAGGGUGAGUCAUUUUAGGAGAAAGAGAUCCAGGAAGAGCCAUGGGGUCUGUCUGUGUCCAGCAGC
rnacentral:lncRNA from 1 species